rnacentral:lncRNA from 1 species
UUUUUUUUUUCAUAUUAACUAUAGUACAAAGGACUAAAGUAAGCCCAAACUCACAGAUUCCCAUUUUUCUACCAUUGGUAGGCAUUUGUUUCACUGAAAAGCUCAUUUUGCCUAUUUUAUCCUACAUUUCAUUCAUUUUUGUAUUGAUUUCUGAGUCCCAGUUUUGUGAUGAUAAAUCUCUCAGUAUUCUCAAGGAAACUAUUUAGAGUACAAUAGUUAAGUCUAUGAAGCAUUGUUUUGCUUUUAAUACCACUUUUUUACCUUUCAGAUAUUUGUUUUUAACAAUAGUAAAAAGAGGGGUGCCUGGGUGGCUCAGUCGGAUCAAUGCCCAACUCUUGAUUUCAGCUCAGAUCAUGAUCUCAGGGUUGUGAGAUCGAGCCCUUUGACAGGCUCCACACUGGGCAUGGAGCCUGCUUAAGACUCUCUCUCUGCCCCUGACCCCACCCUCUCUCUGUCUCUGUCUCUCCCUCUCAAAAAACAAACCAAUAGUUAAGAGAAUAGAGAAUGAGCUUUAGAACCAAGUAUAUUUUUAAAAUACUUGAUAUAGGAAAUGGAAAAGGAGUUUUUUAAAAGUCCAGUUCUGAAGAAUGUCUUUCCUCUAAUUGCCACAGAAAAUUGGAGAACUGAUGGUAGCCACAAUACCAACUAGCUCUUAAUCUUGGACCCUGUUGCACCAAUAGAUUUCUGCUUUCAUUUUAUAAUUUCCUUUAAGUUUAUACAUUGCUUAAAGGUAAUGGCCAAGUCUCUUUGUUUAAACAAAAUACAUAUGUUUUAAAGUCCCUAGAAUCUAUAAAUGAAGGUAACUAUGUACAAAGGAGCAAUUUGGAAACAGUAAGAUCCCCACCCCAUUCCAAAGUAUCUAUAUUUCCACUGUUUCACGGAAUGCCACAUGGGCUAAGUUAUUCACACUAAGUGAAAACAUCGAUGUGCAUAAGAGGAGUCACGUUCUGGCACUUCUCAAAUUUUUCUAUGGGGGUUUUACUGAUGAGGGGGUGACUAAAAGGUGAAUACAUACAUUCUGAGGUUGGAGAGGAACUCCCAAAGCAAUCCAUCUCCAACUUGAAAUUUCCUUGAAGCCUUGUCAUAUAGCUUUAAAAUGCAUGCAAAUGGUUCUUACUGCUGCCUGAUGUAUCUGUUUAAUUUGAUAGAAAAACUAAAGGGCUUAUCUGGAUUAAAACUGAUAUAUGACGGUCAUAUGGCUUGGUGUUUCUGACGCUCCCUGGAAGACCUACUGAGGCAUGCUAACCUUUAUUUUUUUUAUUUUUUUAUUUUUUUAUUUUUUGGAUGCUAACCUUUAAACCAUUCAUGAUCAGGAGGCUGACUAGGAGCAUUGGCUAUUUGAAUUGAUUCCUCUUUUUUUAAAUGGAAAGUGUGGGUGGAGAUAGAGAUUCAGUAACAAGGAAGAGGCUAGCAGUGAGGAAUAAGUGCCUCAACUCUGGGGAAAUGCCGUAGUGAGUCUGGGAAGAAAAAGAUGCCACAAAAAGACGGAAGUGGCUAGAAUAAAAGCACAAAGGGAAACCAAGUCAAAUUUACUUCGCAAUUUGCCUAGGGCUAAAGAAAGAUGCUUCAUAGAAAAUGAAGUGACUGGACUUGAUUUUGAAAGAAAAGAUGCUUUUGAAAUCCAGUGGAAAAAGGCAAACAACUAAAAGUGUUCUAGCAAUUAAGGAGAGAGAACUUGGGAUCCCUGAGUGGUCAGCGGUUUAGCACCUGCCUUUGGCCCAGGGCGUGAUCCUGGAGACCCAGGAUCGAGUCCCACGUCAGGCUCCCUGUAUGGAGCCUGCCUCUCCCUCUCUCUCUCUCUCUCUCUCUCUCUGCGUCUCUCAUGAAUAAAUGAAUAAAAUCUUUAAAAAAAAAAAAAGGAGAA